rnacentral:rRNA from 1 species
UACGUAGGGGGCAAGCGUUGUCCGGAAUUAUUGGGCGUAAAGAGCGUGUAGGCGGUCUGACAGGUCUGCUGUGAAAACUCGAGGCUCAACCUCGAGAUGUCGGCGGAAACCGUCUGGCUAGAGUCCGGAAGAGGAGAGUGGAAUUCCUGGUGUAGCGGUGAAAUGCGCAGAUAUCAGGAAGAACACCUAUGGCGAAGGCAGCUCUCUGGGACGGUACUGACGCUGAGACGCGAAAGCGUGGGGAGCAAACAGG